rnacentral:rRNA from 1 species
UACGUAGGGCGCGAGCGUUGUCCGGAUUUACUGGGUGUAAAGGGUGCGCAGGCGGACUGGUUAGUCAGGAGUGAAAUCUCGGCGCUCAACGCCGAAACGUCUUUUGAUACUGCCAGUCUUGAAUAAGCGAGAGAUUCGUGGAAUUCCGAGUGUAGCAGUGAAAUGUGUAGAUAUUCGGAAGAACACCAGUGGCGAAGGCAGCGAAUUGGCGCUUUAUUGACGCUCAGGCACGAAAGCAUGGGGAUCAAACAGG